AUCGCUUCUCGGCCUUUUGGCUAAGAUCAAGUGUAAAAAAAUAACCUGAUGUUAAUUAAUCUUUUUUUCAUAUUGUUCUGCUUCCUUAUAAAACUUACCAUUGUGCUACUGCCCAGUGGGAACUCUCA
rnacentral:snRNA from 1 species